CCAAUAGCGUAUAUUAAAGUUGUUGCAGUUAAAAAGCUCGUAGUUGAAUUUCGGGAUUAAUAUGCUGGUCGUGCCAUUGGUACGUACUAGUAUUAUUGAUUUCUCCCUUCUGAUGAAUCAUGAUGUCAUUAAUUUGAUGUCAUGGGGAAUCAGGACUGUUACUUUGAAAAAAUUAGCGUGUUUAAAUCAGGCUCGCGCUUGAAUACAUUAGCAUGAAAUAAUGAAAUAGGACGUUUGAUUCUAUUUUUUUGGUUUCUAGGAUUGACGUAAUGAUUAAUAGGGAUAGUUGGGGGCAUUAGUAUUCAAUUGUCAGAGGUGAAAUUCUUGGAUUUAUUGAAGACUAACUACUGCGAAAGCAUUUGCCAAGGAUGUUUUCAUUAAUCAAGAACGAAAGUUAGGGGAUCGAAGACGAUCAGAUACCGUCGUAGUCUUAACCAUAAACUAUGCCGACUAGGGAUCGGAUGAUGUUAAUUAUGACUCAUUCGGCGCCUUACGGGAAACAAAAGUGUUGGGGUC
rnacentral:misc_RNA from 1 species